CUCCCAUGUAAAUCCUGGCAGGACGCAGCCAGCUCUGAGCUCAUUCACGUGAGAUCACCGGCUGGUUCGGGCCACGCGGGUGGGGACGUGCCGGGAGCUCCGCGGGACCCUGCCCCGGGGGCUGCCCGUCGCUUGGAGCUGCGAGGAGAGCUCGGCCCAUGCAACCCCUCUCCCUACGCUUCCCUCUUACAGCAGCACCGUGCCCGUGUGGCCGCAGCCGGCAUUCCCCAACCUCUGCAGACAGCCGGCAGGAACCUGCUGUCACACCGGGGUACUGGCUCUGAUCCUGGGCAUGGCACGUGGGACUCUGGGGAAUGGCAGGUGUGACACUGGGGAUCGGCCCUGGCACUGGGGAUUGAAGGUGUGGCACUGGGGAUCAGGUGUGACCUUGGGAUGGGAGAUGGGACACUGGAGGAGGCAGGUGUGACCUUGGGAAUGGAGAUCUGACCCUAAGGAUGGCAGGACUGGCGCUGGGAAUGGAAGGUGUGACACUGGGGAUCAGCCCUGGCGCUGGGGAUUGAAGGUGUGGCACUGGGUAUCACGUGUGACCCUUGGAAUGGGAGAUGGGACACAGGAGGAGGCAGGUGUGACCCUGAGAAUGGAGAUCUGGCCCUAAGGAUGGCAGGACUGGCACUGGGAAUGGAAGGUGUGGCACUGGGGAACAGGUUUGACAUUUGGGAUGGGAGUUGUGACCCUAGGAAUGGCAGGUCUGACCCUGAGGAUGGUGAGUUUGACCCUGGGGAUGGAAGUUGUGACGCUGAGGAUGGAAAUUGCGACACUGGAAGUGGAUGGUCUCAUCGUAGGGAUGGCGGGUCCGGCCCUGGGGAUGGCGGGUGUGGCACUGGGAAUGGAAGAUGCGGCCUUGGGAGUAGCGGGUCUGACGCUGGGGACAGCAGAUCUCAUCCUGGGGACAGCAACACUUGGAUUUUCCACCCCGGCCGAGGAGCAGAGGCCACGGCAGGUGAUGGAGCGGCCCUGGGAGCGGCGAUGCCUCGGGCGCAUCCAUCGGCAGCCGCGUGUCCCGGCGCAGCCUCGGGCUCCCGGCACCGCCCCUGGGGUAGGACACAGCCCCAGGUCACCUCCCGCUCCUCUGCCACCUGCCCCGCUUUUCCUUCGGCGUUCGAACCCUGCGGGAGCUUUGUCUGCAGUUGCGACUUCCCCCGGCCGCUGCCGCUCCAAAGAAAACAGAUCCGUGUGUUUGAAAAUCUCAGCUUACACAGCAUUCCUCCAGCUUCUGCUCCUUUUUGGGGCUUCUCCUUCUUCCUCUGGCUCGCUGACCUGAAAAUGCACUUUGUGCUUUCCCUGGGAGAGGUGGAUGAGGAGAGCUGCGGCAUAGCUGCAUAUUAACCCCCCCGGAUUUUCCCGAGGUGCCGCCGCCGCUCUCCCGCUCCGACAACUUUUUAAUCGCUCGCCCCAGAUAGACCCGAUUGGAUUUAUUUAUUUUCCCCCGCGAACAAAACCAUGGCGUUUCCUGCGCUCCUUUCUGGCUCUUCAGGCCCCUUUCAUGUCUCCCUGCCUGUGGAAGGACGGCCGGCCCCGCACACCGGGAUGGCGGCGGGAAUUUCAGCGGGAAUUCCAGCGACAAGCUGCUUAUCUUCGCUGCCAGGGCUCCUUGGAAAAGCACUUUCCAGGGAGAGGGGCUGUGCCUCCGCCAGGGUGUUGGGGAUCCACGUGCCAGCCCGGUGGGAUCUCAUCCCUUUCAUCCUACAAAACACUUAGGGGGAAUAUCUCCCUGGUCCCACGGUGCCUGUGGGAUGAGAGAAGUUUAUUCCCCACCGAUGUUUUAUUUAGGUAAUUUAAAUGUGAAGUGGCUGUGGAAUACAUUGGGCUGCAGCUCAUCACUUGAUGAGGGGCUGAUUGGGAUCGGAGAGACUCUGCCAGCAGGGAGGGAGGUGGGAGAGCCGGGAAUUUUGGGAAUGACGCCGGGUGUCACCAGUCCAGUCCUUUUAGAAUGGAGCAGGUGAGGACUCUGGGGAACACCAGGUCUGUGCGUGGCUCUUGGAUCCCUCGUGGAAUGGGAGCCUGGAGCAGCACCCCAGGACGGAGCUGUGUGGGAGCCGAGUCCCCCAAAACUCCUGACAUCCACGUGGGAAUGUCCAUGCCAGACCCAGGAAAAGGGAAGGGAGGUGGAAAUCCCAGUAACUCCUUAUGGAAGCACAAGGAUCAUCCACCCGGCCUGGGAUUUUGG